rnacentral:tRNA from 1 species
GCCGCCGUAGCUCAGUGGUAGAGCGAUCGGCUGUUAACCGAAAGGUCAGCGGUUCGAAAGGUGGACCCGACGUUC